rnacentral:rRNA from 1 species
CCUACGGGAGGCAGCAGUAGGGAAUCUUCCACAAUGGGCGAAAGCCUGAUGGAGCAACGCCGCGUGGGUGAAGAAGGUCUUCGGAUCGUAAAACCCUGUUGUUAGAGAAGAAAGUGCGUGCGAGUAACUGUUCACGUUUCGACGGUAUCUAACCAGAAAGCCACGGCUAACUACGUGCCAGCAGCCGCGGUAAUACGUCGGUGGCAAGCGUUAUCCGGAUUUAUUGGGCGUAAAGGGAACGCAGGCGGUCUUUUAAGUCUGAUGUGAAAGCCUUCGGCUUAACCGGAGUAGUGCAUUGGAAACUGGGAGACUGGAGUGCAGAAGAGGAGAGCGGAACUCGAUGUGUAGCGGUGAAAUGCGUAGAUAUAUGGAAGAACACCAGUGGCGAAAGCGGCUCUCUGGUCUGUAACUGACGCUGAGGUUCGAAAGCGUGGGUAGCAAACAGGAUUAGAUACCCGUGUAGUC